rnacentral:SRP_RNA from 1 species
GCAGCUGGGGAGAUAGCGGUGCCCUGUACCUGCAAUCCGCUACAGCAGGAGUGAUGGUUGGCCUCGGGUUGUUUCUUGUGGAGCUGCCCCUGGUAAGUGGCGUUGAUGUUUGGGUCUUGCGCGACAGAGAUCUAUGAACCGUGUCAGGUCGGGAACGAAGCAGCACUAAGUAGAACCCUUUGUGCGCCGCGAGGCAGCCUGGACUGAGUUAACUGUCAGGGUAACGUC